rnacentral:rRNA from 1 species
CACGUAGGCGGCGCAGUUAGUUAGAGGUGAAAGCCCCGGGCUCAACCUGGGAAUUGCCUUUAAUACUGCUGUGCUAGAGUCCAUCAGAGGGUGGCGGAAUAUCCAGUGUAGAGGUGAAAUUCGUAGAUAUUGGAUAGAACACCAGUGGCGAAGGCGGCCACCUGGGAUGGUACUGACGCUGAGGUGCGAAAGCGUGGGGAGCAAACA